UACGAAGGGGGCUAGCGUUGCUCGGAAUCACUGGGCGUAAAGGGUGCGUAGGCGGGUCUUUAAGUCAGGGGUGAAAUCCUGGAGCUCAACUCCAGAACUGCCUUUGAUACUGAAGAUCUUGAGUUCGGGAGAGGUGAGUGGAACUGCGAGUGUAGAGGUGAAAAUUCGUAGAUAUUCGCAAGAACACCAGUGGCGAAGGCGGCUCACUGGCCCGGAUACUGACGCUGAGGCACGGAAAGCGUGGGGAGCAAACAGGG
rnacentral:rRNA from 1 species